GAUGAACGCUGGCGGCGUGCCUAAUACAUGCAAGUCGAGCGAACGGACGAGAAGCUUGCUUCUCUGAUGUUAGCGGCGGACGGGUGAGUAACACGUGGAUAACCUACCUAUAAGACUGGGAUAACUUCGGGAAACCGGAGCUAAUACCGGAUAAUAUUUUGAACCGCAUGGUUCAAAAGUGAAAGACGGUCUUGCUGUCACUUAUAGAUGGAUCCGCGCUGCAUUAGCUAGUUGGUAAGGUAACGGCUUACCAAGGCAACGAUGCAUAGCCGACCUGAGAGGGGGAACGGCCACACUGGAACUGAGACACGGUCCAGACUCCUACGGGAGGCAGCAGUAGGGAAUCUUCCGCAAUGGGCGAAAGCCUGACGGAGCAACGCCGCGUGAGUGAUGAAGGUCUUCGGAUCGUAAAACUCUGUUAUUAGGGAAGAACAUAUGUGUAAGUAACUGUGCACAUCUUGACGGUACCUAAUCAGAAAGCCACGGCUAACUACGUG
rnacentral:rRNA from 1 species